ACAGUCCUUUUCAGUUUUCACUUUUUUCUUUUCAGUACUCUGCUCCGUUCCUUUUUUCCCAGACUCUGUUAAGCCUCUACUGUUUUGUGCAACUCUCUCUCUCUUGCUAUCUCUCUCUCUCUCUCUCUCUCUCUCUCUCUCUCUCUCUCUCUCUCUCUCUCGGUAUCUCCCAACCUCCUUUCGAUCUCUCCCUUCGUAACAAACUUUUGCUCAGCCUUUUCAGUUUGCGUUUGAUUUUUUUUCUUCGGCGAUCCCCUGUUAAGUUUUAUUCAUGGCAGUCAAAGACAAUGAGAACCGUGCACAUUUUGGCACCGUUGAGGAGAAUCAGAACUGCAGCCAAGGAGCCUGCUGUGAUCCAAAAAACUCGAGCACAGCGAAGCGUCAAAAAAAAAAAAAAAAAAAAAAAAAAAAAAAAACACCCUUUCCUUUGCUUGGUCACAAAUUCCACUUUCCCUGUAGCCUGGGCAGUGUUGAAACUCCUCCUCAACCACAUCUCACCGCAUUCGACCUUUCCGCCUUUUCCCUCUCUUCCUCUUCCACGGAACCUUUUUUUCAGAACCCGCGUCCAGAGUUUUUUUUUCGCCUCCGCUGGUAAAUGUGGACAGGAGCCUCUGCCCAGGAGGGCGACUGAAGGGACAGUGGGGUUUUUCAGUUAUUUUUCUUCUUAUUAUUAUUUUUUUUGCCGAUCAUUUGGCCAUACUGGGGUGUUGAAGUAGUGCCGGGACUUUGGGCUGCUGUUUGUAGUUGUAGGUUUCUGUGUACGCUCCCCGUUCAGAUUUUUAAACAAAUUCUGGCAACGGAAUCGGCCUAGUCUGCGCCCCAAGCCUAUCUCUGUGUUAUGGCCAAGAGAAGACUGAAUGCUCCUUUUCGGACCACACUGCUUCUCUCUCUCUGUCUUUCUCUCUUUUUCUCUCUUAUGUUAUCUGUCACCUUCUUUCUUUAUAACUCUCUUUUUCACCCCUCUGGCAUUUUGUGUGUUGGACUGAGCAUCCCAGGAGGCAGCGUGGCCUCCAUCGUCCAGAAAACAGAGCGACUGGUCAAAGCCCACCUGUUCAGCAUUUACAAAGAAGGAACAAAGAAUGACAAGUCUAUAGUAUGUUAAGUCUCUGGAGUCUUAUUAAAGGAGCCCUUAUUCCUUUUCAUGGCAGUGGAGUAACUCCAGCUCUUUUUGAAACAUCUGUGAAUUAUGAAGAAAAAAAAAUGGUCUAAACAUUUUUAAAAUGUUUGCAUGACUUAAUCUUUGCUAUACUCACUAAAAUCAUUCCCUUCUCUAAUCUCUUCAACUGUUCCAACCAUCUUCUUUCCCACCGUUUCCCAGCUGUGCGCUCAGAAAAGGUUUCCUCUCUAAUUCGUUUUCUCUCUCUCUCUCUCUCUCUCUCUCUCUCUCUCUCUCACUCUCCUUUACCCCCUCCAACCGACCAUCUCCGUCAACGAAAGUCCUUUCAUAAUGAAUGGCAAGGUACGAUAAUAGCCUUGUGGUUUCCAUAGAAACCAGACAGUAGCCCUGUGUGUAUGGCAUACCCCCCUUUUUUUCUUCUCCCUCUUUUUUCAAGGGGGCAAAUGAUAGUGGAAUGUGAGGCGAAACACCUCCCUCUCUCCUUCUCUCCCUCGUUCUUACUCCGUGCACCCACUGCACUGUAUUCCCAUUCCCUUUCUUCCCUUUCCCCGUUCAGCCUCUCAGAAUUUUUACUUAUUCACUUUUUUAUAAUGUUACCUGUUUGAAUCUUUUGGAUUUUCUGAAGUUGUCAUAAAAUAAAGUAUGAACUGAACUGA